UUUUCCUCUCAGCAGCUGGACUCCUGUGAGCGCGCUCCUCUGAGUGUUUCCAGCUUUCGGUGAGACAGCAGACUCUCGCAACCGCGGCAGGCCCAGGAGUGUCAGUACAAGCAGAAGUGAGGAACCCCGUGUGGAGGAGGCACUGUGCGGAAAGGGCAGAAGGUGCCUGGGGCCGAGCUCAGAGCUCUUCUGCUAUUUUUGUCUCUUCUCACGUCCGCAAAGCAUCAGGACAGGGCUGAGCAGAAGUGUCCUGGACGCCCCCACCCCGGCCCCCCCAGGGAGAAACACGCCGAGGAAUGACAGAAGGAUGCCUGUCCCCCAGCUGUGAGACGACCCCUACGAGUGCAGGAGGGGAAGCAGUGUGUCCACGUGUUCCGCAGAGGGAAACCCGGAUCAUCACAGACAUCGCAGCAACUUCAUCUGAAGGUUCAUGUUUGUCCCAGCAUUUCCCAGUCAGUAUCCUUCGCACAUUUCUCAGUAACUGGUGUGUUUAACUCUCAGUCUAAAAACAUGACAUUACUCUUGUUGUCAGGUUUCCUAGUGACACUUAGGUUUUUCACAGAUCUCUCCCACCGUCCAUGGGCUCAAGCAGCUUAAACGUGUUUUCUCUUGCAAAUCGAGUGCAUUCCCCCAUAGGUACGUGCCCUUGCACAACGCUGUUUAAAUCGUAAGACCCACCUUCUGUCCCAGCUGUCGGCUAGCACCUCUAAGCAUCCUGUGCUUCCUGCCAGACUGGAUGGCAGGUAUCUGACGACCCUUGGCUGACACCAGCAUGGACAGGCGGUGUCACUGAAUUAACUAACCGCUCCAUUUCACCUGAUAUUUGCCGGGGCCCAGGCUGAUGUCCAUGCAUGAAUCCGCCCCUGACUGCAGAACAUGAGUUGAUUGGGUGUCCUUCCCUUAGUUGGGGAGAAAGGCUUUGUCGCGAAAGGAAGCAACCAACCCUGGUUGGUGGUUUGGAAGGCGCCUAUCCUGGAUGGCCAUGGUGGUGGGACCCUGUGAGACCCAGUGUCAUAUGACGCACGAGCACCUUCAUACUGACCUGCUUCAGCCAUUCUUAGAGCUGGAUUCAGCACUGAGCUAGAGUAACCCGCCCUUUUAGACCAGCAUGACCUCCUAAUACUUCGGUGCUUUUCUUUCCCACAAACUCAGCUGUGCAGUUUGCUGACUAUCAGGCCGGAGUGUGUUUCCACCGUCUGUGAAAACUCACUAAUAUCUGCAUUCGCCUCGAUAACGGCGAGUGCCAACCAACACGGUGACCGAUGGCGUCCAGCCGGCCGAGGCUGUUUGUUUUGGUAGAAUCACUCGCUUAUCAGUCAGAACUGGACAACUUUCACAACACACCGAA